rnacentral:rRNA from 1 species
UGCCAGCCGCCGCGGUAAUACGGAGGGGGUUAGCGUUGUUCGGAAUUACUGGGCGUAAAGCGCACGUAGGCGGAUCGACAAGUUGGGGGUGAAAUCCCGGGGCUUAACCCCGGAACUGCCCUCAAAACUGUCGAUCUAGAGACCGGGAGAGGUAAGCGGAAUUCCUAGUGUAGAGGUGAAAUUCGUAGAUAUUAGGAAGAACACCAGUGGCGAAGGCGGCUUUCUGGACCGAUACUGACGCUGAGACGCGAAAGCGUGGGGAGCAAACAGGAUUAGAUA